CUACGGGCUGCUCCAGUGAGGAAUAUUGCUCAAUGGGGGGAACCCUGAUGCAGCAACGCCGCGUGGAGGAUGACGCAUUUCGGUGUGUAAACUCCUUUUAUAUGUCAAGAAAAUGACGGUAGCAUAUGAAUAAGCACCGGCUAACUCCGUGCCAGCAGCCGCGGUAAUACGGAGGGUGCAAGCGUUACUCGGAAUCACUGGGCGUAAAGGACGCGUAGGCGGGUUGGAAAGUCAGGUGUGAAAUCCUACAGCUUAACUGUAGAACUGCACUUGGAGCUUCUAAUCUAGAGUAUGGGAGGGGGAGAUGGAAUUAGUGGUGUAGGGGUAAAAUCCGUAGAUAUCACUAGGAAUACCUAAAGCGAAGGCGAUCUCCUGGAACAUUACUGACGCUAAGGCGUGAAAGCGUGGGGAGCAAACAGGAUUAGAUACCCCAGUAGUC
rnacentral:rRNA from 1 species